rnacentral:lncRNA from 1 species
UUCAUUUCACAGGGAGAGUUGUCUUAAGACAUGGGUUCACUCCGUUCUCUUUCAUUAGAUUAUCGGUGCCAGAGUCCCCAUUCGUGUUCUUUAUCACUCAAGUGUUUAACAGGGUCCCUUCCCGCCGAUUUUUCAUUCUAAUCAUUCUAAAUUUAGUUCUACUCAGAUUAAUUCUUGUUCUGCCAGGAACCCUGGCUUUUUGAAGACAGAGAAGCCUCUCUCCAGAGUCAGGCAAUCUGAAGGUGAUGUUAAUCCCCCAAGUAGGAAGUUCCCCAUCCAAUCCUCCCUCCUCUGAGCUCCCUCUUCUUAGCCUUGGGAUCAUCUUGUCUGCUCAUCCUCACCAGGCAUCCUUUUGUUGCUCCGGGGCUCUCUGAUGAGCUUCUCCUCACCCCCCUCCUGGAGAUAGCCUGGGGUUGUUCAGCGGGAUGCGCCACCUGCACUUCUGAUUGUUCUGAGAUCCAGCCCAAAGGGGUGGGGAGGCAUACAAACCCCGUUUCAAUAAACUGCCUGCAGAGAACCGCAGCCUGCUACCAGUCAUUGAGGUCCUCGCCCCCUAAGGUCUCCAGGCUCAUUUGACCAGCACAGCUGCGACUUGGGCUGUCUGCCUCUGGCAGGUGCCAAUAUCAGCGUCUUGUCCCACUGCCAUGAGGAGUUUAUUUUUGCUCCAGGGCAGCUGCCAAGCCCAGCACCAGCAUCAGUAAAAGGUUUUCUCUGAUUUUCUUUUCUUUGUCCCACGUCGGGUUUUCUUACCACUCCCCACUUGGCACUUUAUAGAAAAUAAAAUGACCAGAGACCAUCAGUCCCUUCUUUCAUUUGGACAUCUCUUCCCGCUCCCCCAGCCUCCCCUAAGGGAAAGCAUGCUCCAUGGUAGAUAUUUAGACAAUGUUGGGUGAAUGAAAAACUCUGGGGCACUGAAAGACUCUGUUUUGUAAUACGGUAGCAAGAACUGGUCUACCUGCAUUGUCUUGCCGGCACUGAGCUCUUGUACACAACAGUAGAGGUGUCCUGAGGUUAUGGAGAGUGACCCAGAAGGGAUUGUCAAACAAAGCAUUAGAAUUAAAGCAGCUUUAAAUCUGCCAACUGUAUUUCCUCUGAGAGAUGGAAAUUUAGCAUUGGGCCCCAGGACAGGCUGAGCACAACCAGCCAGUCCCAGACAGGACAGGACUCCAAAUGGGGUAAACUGAUUUCAGGGGAAAUUAGCCAUGGAGUGAGUUGAUAUUUUAAACUGCUUAAGUGCAGGAUGCUGGCCAGAAAGGUGGACCACUCCACCACUCCCGGACCAAGCCCAGGCCUUUGCCAGCACCCUGAGAAGCAACCUAGGUCGUCUUCAAAUCAGCACAUUUAUUGAACAUCUACUCUAGUUGAGUGAACCGUCAUUUAGGACUGAAGCUCCUCCACGGGUAACUUGAGAAUACGAGGCCUUCCGACCCCAUCUUUUCGGGAUGACAAAAUCCUUCACUUUAACAUCCUUCAGAGAAUCUAAGUUCUCUUUACAAGUAGUCCAAGAAGCCACUUUCCCGACUCAGUCUCUACGAGGCAGUUAAGUCCCAGUCAAUAGGCAGACAUACAGCAGGACGCCCAGCUCAAGCACUAUGGGGAAGGCAGACAUAGCCACCCUCAGCUGAAGCCUGACAGGCUGCCCCGGAGAACCAAGUGGGUCCACCCUUUGAGGCCUCAGAGGGCUGUGAGCGUGGCCAGGUGGCCAUGCCAGUGCAACUGUCCCAGCUGUUGGGUACCAGCCACAGCGCAGGUGGGAAAGGAGACAUCAGACUGCUUUAGCAGGAGAAAGCAGAUCACCGGAAGUGUUCAUUCAAAACAGCAAAACUUUCAAAGUACACAGUGACCC